GUGUGGGCUGGUGGUGGCCCGGUCGGGUCGGCCUGGGCACGGCCCACCACCACUGCUGGGGGGCCACCAGCAGCGGCACGGCACGGCGACGUGCUAAGAGCUCUCCAUUGCGCGGUCCGGUCGGUCUGCCUGCCAUCAGCACCAUUAUGGCGCGGCACCGCGGCUGGCGCUACCGGUGUUGCACUGCAGCUGCAGCCGGCGGCGCAGGCGGCGCCCCGCAGCCCGAAGGGCCGGAGGUGAAAUAUUGGCCAUAAACGACGGGAGAGGACGUCGUCGUACCUGUGUACCAUCUGGUCAGUGAGGUGUCCUAACUUAAACAUAAUGGACCAAGAUACGAGGACCGAUUACUGUAAAAUCGCAUGAGUACUCAUGAAUUGCAAACGAGUACUCCCUUCACAGCGCCUACCCGCUCACUGCCUGCCUACAUGCCUAUGACGCUUCACGAUGGACGACUGACAACUUUAUGCACGAGUGCUGUAGGGUUGCUGUUGCCUGUUGGAUACCUUGCUACGCUACGUAGCUCCCAGGG